CUUCAUGCGAUCUCCGAUCCGAUAUGAUCCGAUCCUCAGUCAUGAUCGCCUGCUUGGUUCCUCGGUCGGUCCGGUUCGGUUGGAGCGGUUCGUUCGGUCAGUGGAAAUCCGAAAUCGGUGGAAACCCACCAGACGGGCCCCACAACUUACUACAAGAAUUUUGAAAUCAAAACAAAAACGUAAAAGAUCAACGCACAAAAAGAGCGCGCCACUGAAUUUUGGCGGGAGACUACUGUACCGCUGGAUCGGCGAGAAUCAGUUGAACAAAACAAACCGAUAAAACCGGAGGAGGAGCCUGUAGUAGGCGUAGGCACUGCGCUGGUGGUGGUGUGGCGUGUGUAGAAGAUCGAGAAGAACAACAAAAUCAAAAAGAAAACUGGUCAACUUAAUCAAAGAGCGGAGAAUCCAGAAGAUUUGCUGCUCACAGAUCUCCAAAGAGCACGGCAUUUUCACAGAAAUCCAGUUUUACAUCGACGAAGAGACGCAAAGAGCAGCAAAGAGACUGGGCGACCAGUGUUGCCGUGCAGCAGGUGGAAAAUCAGAGAGCCAGAUAUCAAAACAAAUUUCAAGCUGCCACGAAAUACUGCUAUCACGAGGAACUUGGCUUUAGAAUUAUUUAUCUUAGAAAAAUUUAAAUAAAUAUAUUUAGGAAGAUCUAAACUUAGGUUUAUCAAAUGUCUACCAAAGAACUAAGACUAGAUACAUAUUAGAAGACAUUUAAAAAUUAAAAAUAUAAGCAUAAUCUUUAGGUAAGGUAUAACAAGCAAUUUAUACAAAUAUCCGUUAUUUGAAUGCAAGUGUUGGAUAAUACAAAUAUUGCCUGAUCGAUUUCACGAACCUUCAACAGCUAUCCGCGUUCGGGCAAUUAAGGAACCCUUUAUUAAUGGUCAAUUAAGUAGCUUCAACACAUAUGUCAGUUGAUAAGGAACUUUGGUGGAGGAACCUUUAGCACGGCCACAAUUUUCCGCAGCUGAGGCGACCAGAGUCUCCUUACCGGUUUUUUCAUUUGGUCGUUUCUCCCCUUUUUUUGUCAACGAGAAAAAAGCGCGCCAAAAUGAUGCUCCUACUGGGGAUUUAUAGUCCUUCCUAUGCUGGGUGCCAUAAAACCUGAAAAAGGACUGAGCGGCGUGCGGACAAGGUGGAAUAAAGAAAAGGCUGCGUUUCCACUGGGAGAGUGUAAUAACCCCAAACGGACCCUCGAUCCGUCUCCCUUUCUCUUUCGCUCCGUGUCUCUUUCUGGCUGAAUUAAUUUCACAGCAGAAGCGGAAAGGAGAAGGCCGACGAAGAAGGGAAUAGCCGAAAGGAGGAGAACGAGAAGAAAACCAGGCAACGUUACUUGUUUCUUGAAGGGUCCACACGAUCGCCCCACGACGUCAAUUUGCAAGUUCUUCUUGGAGCCACAGAAACUCAGGCUGCAACUGCGAGGAACCCUCUGAUUCGCAGCAGAGAGGGCCGAUCGAAAGGUACUCGGUGAUGGGAAUAGUUUGAAGGUCCUUAAUUCCCUUGAUGAUUUACAUUUUGAAAUAUUAUAGUACAUGAGAGAUAGAUAGAUAGAUGUACUUAUUUUAGGUUGUUACAAAACUUUCAAAACUACAUAAGUAGCCAGAAAAAAAUAUAUAUAAUCUAAAUUUUUUCAAACAAAGAAGGUUAAAGUGUAGAAACGUUAUGUCUUUAAGAGCAUAUGUUAUACAUAAAUAGUUAUCUGAACUAGUUUGAAUCGUUAUAAAUACCGUUCUGGAAAUCAAUCCUCCCAAUCGCCAGGAAGAGUUCAAUGGACCCUCGCAAAGUGCGCAACAUUUUGCGGACCGGGUUUGUAGUAGCACACACACAGGCACAAAAGGAGGACAGGAGGGAUGGAGCAAUCCGAGGAGCGAGCAAUCUUCUGUUUACCCUGCCACAGUCUUUCCUCAUGAUCCUCCACUUCGUGCCUUUUAAUGCCUUUAAUCCUAGCAAAUAAUACAAAGGAGAGAACUCUAGGACAAGUGUAUGGAGGAAUACGAAAAGGCUGAAAAGUGGGGAGAACAUAAUAUACACCGCUAGAAAUCCAGGACUUUUCAAAAUUCAACAACACUACACUAAAGAAUAAACUUUAAACGAUUUUUAAAUGUAUCUAUUUAUAUACAUGGGUUUGAAGGACCAUAUCAAUGCGUAAAAAACUGUGCUACAAUAUAUUUAAUAUAUCCAAUGGCGACUGUCAGUGGCUUGGGGACUCGACCUGGGACGUGUCUCUGUUUCUGUCCCGGGCAUAAAAC